GAUGAACGCUGGCGGCAUGCCUAAUACAUGCAAGUCGAGCGAAGCGGGGACGGGUGAGUAACACGUGGGUAACCGCCUAUAAGACGGGGAUAACUUCGGGAAAGCGGAGCUAAACCGGAAACUGAUAGAUGGAUCCGGGCUGCAUUAGCUAGUUGGUAGGGUAACGGCUUACCAAGGCAACGAUGCCUAGCCGACCUGAGAGGGUGACCGGCCACACUGGAACUGAGACACGGUCCAGACUCCUACGGGAGGCAGCAGUGGGGAAUCUUCCGCAAUGGGCGAAAGCCUGAUGGAGCAACGCCGCGUGAGUGAUGAAGUUCUUCGGAUUGUAAAACUCUUUUAUCAGGGAAGCGUUACCUACACAGAAAGCCACGGCUAACUACGUGCCAGCAGCCGCGGUAAUUC
rnacentral:rRNA from 1 species